CGACAUUAACUUAACUACGGGAAAGGAACUUGUCAGGGAUCGCACACUUAUUGAAAACAGCUAAAGGGAAUGUGAAACGAACCAUGCUGUGACUACAGGGAGACGCUGCAGUGGCCUCACUACGGCGGCCCGGCUACUCAUGUAAACCUCAGGGUCUCUGCCAACCCUCGGAGCCCAGAGAAUAUGGCCUGCAGCUGGGCCACAGAGGGAGCUGGAGACCCUGUACUUCGGAAACCACCAGCAUCCAUAAUUAACCAGAUGCAAGACAACAAACAUAUACACAAAAAAAUGUGUUCAUGGAGGGCAGACUCUCUAGUAAAGUGGGAUCUAAAGCAGGCGCUACACUCCCCCUGAAAAAACAAAAAGUAUCACAUACUGUCUGCAUCAAACGUUCCAAUAAAAAUGGUAAAGCUGUUGACCCUAUACUUCUAUGGAGGAGUGGAUGUCUUGGAAAGGGAUAAGGUUGCCAUCUACAGGUCAGUUUUGGAAGUGUCCGUUUAGAAGUUUGACACAAAUGAAAGUACUCAGCAGAGGUGGGCAUAGACCUUUGAAUAAAAUUCACGUCUUUAACAGUUAAUCUGGGAUCCCUUUAACCUUAUAAUUGGACAGUUAUGGAAAGGGCAAUUUACUAAAAGUUCAAGGUUUCAAUCAUCACAAAUUGAUGUCUAUGUUAAAUAUUAAUAAAAACAAUUACUGUCCACAAUUUCCGAUAUAUGAACAUGUGCCCAGCUUCGGUUCUCAGACGCUUUACUUAUGUCACACAGAAUAUUCAUUUAAUUUCUAAAUGCUACAUUGAUUUUAGUAUUUUUAAGAAUAUUUUACUGCAGCAUUGAUGUUAAUUAAUGUUUGUGUUAGUACAGUAGCUAAAAUAGGAUUUUAACUGUUUAAGAUGCUGAUGUGUUACAUUGCAUCACAUUUCACAUGUUCUGAGUGUGAGGUCUUUAAAGUGUCAUAUUCUUCCACAGUGUAUUGAUGUAUGAAUGUAAAAUUGUACAACAGGAAAAUCUAAAAUCUACUAAACUAUUUGUUUUAUUUGUUUUGUCUUCUAAAGUUGUAUCUGUACAGUUACAAUGGACAAUAAAUCAAAAUCCUUUUUUUUUUUUACCACAAUAAGCUCUACACUCAUAAAUGACAAAUACACAAAAGUCCUUAGAGACACAG